rnacentral:rRNA from 1 species
UACGUAGGGUGCGAGCGUUAAUCGGAAUUACUGGGCGUAAAGCGUGCGCAGGCGGUGAUGUAAGACAGGUGUGAAAUCCCGGGCUUACCUGGGAACUGCAUUGUGACUGCAUCGCUGGAGUGCGGCAGAGGGGAUGGAAUUCCGCGUGUAGCAGUGAAAUGCGUAGAUAUUGGGAAGAACACCGGUGGCGAAGGCGGCGACCUGGUCCGUUACUGACGCUGAGGCGCG